rnacentral:rRNA from 1 species
UACAGAGGUCUCAAGCGUUGUUCGGAUUCAUUGGGCGUAAAGAGCUCGUAGGCGGCUGCUCAAGUCGAAUGUGAAAACUCGAGGCUCAACCUCGAGCCUGCAUUCGAUACUGGACGGCUAGAGUCUGGUAGGGGGGAUCUGGAAUUCCUGGUGUAGCGGUGGAAUGCGCAGAUAUCAGGAGGAACACCGGUGGCGAAGGCGGGGAUCCUGGGCCAGUACUGACGCUGAGGAGCGAAAGCGUGGGGAGCAAACAGG